rnacentral:rRNA from 1 species
AUACGUAGGGGGCGAGCGUUGUCCGGAAUGAUUGGGCGUAAAGGGCGCGUAGGCGGCGCGGUAAGUCUGGAGUGAAAGUCCUGCUUUCAAGGUGGGAAUUGCUUUGGAUACUGCCGCGCUUGAGUGCAGGAGAGGUUAUCGGAAUUCCCGGUGUAGCGGUGAAAUGCGUAGAGAUCGGGAGGAACACCAGUGGCGAAGGCGGGUAACUGGACUGCAACUGACGCUGAGGCGCGAAAGUGUGGGGAGCAAACAGGAUUAGAUACCCUGGUAGUCCGCACAGUAAACGAUGGACACCCGCGGUUUGGCCUAUAUGGCUGAGCCGCCAAGCGAAAGCGUUAAGUGUCCCACAUGGGGAGUACGCCGGCAACGGUGAAACUCAAAUGAAUUGACGGGG